rnacentral:rRNA from 1 species
GGCGGCAGGCCUAACACAUGCAAGUCGGGCGGUAGCAGGAAGUGCUUGCACUUCGCUGACGAGCAGCGGACGGGUGAGUAACGCAUAGGAAUCUGCCUGGUAGUGGGGGAUAGCCCAGAGAAAUUUGGAUUAAUACCGCAUACGCCCUACGGGGAAAGCGUGGGGGGGACCUUCGGGCCUAGCGCUAUCAGAUGAGCCUAUGUCGGAUUAGCUUGUUGGUGAGGUAACGGCUCACCAAGGCGACGAUCCGUAGCUGGUCUGAGAGGAUGAUCAGCCACACUGGGACUGAGACACGGCCCAGACUCCUACGGGAGGCAGCAGUGGGGAAUAUUGGACAAUGGGCGCAAGCCUGAUCCAGCCAUGCCGCGUGUGUGAAGAAGGCCUUCGGGUUGUAAAGCACUUUCAGCGAGGAGGAAAGGAUGGUUGCUAAUAUCAGCCGUCUGUGACGUUACUCGCAGAAGAAGCACCGGCUAACUCCGUG